UCCGCCUGCCUCUGCCUCCCGAGUGCUGGGAUUAAAGGCGUGCGCCACCACCGCCCGGCUAAUUAUUAUUCAUUUAUUUUUGCAGUAGUGGAGUUUGAAACUAGGGCUCAUGCAUGGCAGGUGCUCUAUACUGAGUUAUAUCCCUAGCCAUUUUUCUAUUUUGAGACAGGGUUUCACUUGAACUCUCUUUCUAGUCCACAGUGCCCUUGAACUCAUGACUCUCCUGCCUCAGCCUCCCGAAUAGCUGGGAUUACAGGACUAUGCCACUAGACCUGGCCGUCCCCACAUUUUAAUUGCCAGCUAUGGCAGUAUCCUACCUUUAGGUAAAAUCUAUUUUAGUUAUCUACUGCUGCAUGUUACAGUUUGUUCUCACCAAAACUUUUGAAAUUUGAUUCCUUGUAUGGAUUAAUGUCCUUCUCUAGACACUGCCUUAUUUCUCCAGGGAAUGGGUUGUAAAGCUUCGCGCCUCCCUUGGGGACUUCUUGAAUAUGUGUUCUGCUCAUACUCCCCUUCUCCUUUUACUCUUCCAUUAUGCUACAACAAUUGUUUUGUUUUGAGAUAGGGUUUCUUUGUGUAGGCCUGGUUGCCCUGGAACUAGCUGUGUAGACUAGGCUGGCUUUGAACUCACAGAGAUCCACCUGCCUCUGCCUCCUGAGUGCUGGGAUUAAAGGCAUGUGCAACCACUGCAUGGCAUGCUACAAUGUAUUUUAAGACCAUCCAGGACUCAAACAUUUUCAGCCUCCUAAUCUCAAGACUUUUAGCCUUGAGUACUGUGAGCUAAGUAAAGCUCUGUUCAUUGAGUCAUUCAGUGUCAGGUGUUCUGUUAUAGAAAUGAGAAACACACAAGACCCUGCAUUACCAAGUAACACAAGGCUGGCAGCCUAAAUGAACAAAUAUUUGGUUCCCCACCCCCUGGUUUCUACUGGUGAGGAGUUGGACUACAAAAACAAUAAAAAAGCAUAUUGGAAAGUUAAAGAACCCAGGUCCUUCACCUUUGGUAGUUUUCCAAGUGCUGUCAUAGAAGACGUCAUUGGCAUACCAGGUACUCGGCUCUAUGUGCCCUCUACCCAGUUACAGUUGCCACUUCAACAAUUCUUCCAUCUCAUGACAUUGACCCCUUUCGACAGGAUAAGGACACUGAGAGUUUUCAGGGUCAGUUAAUUUCUGUGACAAGUCUGUUUUGUUACCACGAUGCGAAGCUGAGGAACAUGAGUGCCUGCAUCUGGUUUGACAUCAGGGUGUCUCCAGACUGAUCCCAUGUGGUUCACCAACACCAACGUCCUCAAAUCUAACCCAUCCUCCGAACCAGGAGCUCUCCAACACUGGAGAUGUUCAUGAGUACACGCUCGGUGCCGCCAAGGCGACUGCUUACAGAGGGAUGCUCUUUGGGAUGUGAUGGAAUGGUGGCUCCUUAAAGAAAUGAGUUCCAGUGAUGCUCCUCGAUGGUUGAGUCAGACCAUUGUCCUCUCACGGGAACCCCCCAGCUGUGUAAACAUCAUAGAAACUGACUGGUCCAAUUCACAGACACGAAAAUCCACCCACUGAAUGGUGGAUGUCAGGACAAGAGAGAAUGAAGUGGGGAGUUCCUGAUCAGCCGCUGUGAAGUUUCACCUGCAGAAGGUAAAAGAGCCUUGGAAGUAGAUGAUGAGGGAGCAUUGAGGAGGUCUGAA